AAUCAGAUCAUGAACCCUGACCGCACAUUAGUCCAAAGGUAAACCAUCUAUCAGGGCAUUAGGCUGAAGGUAAACCAUGUUUUAGGGCAUUAGGCUGAAGGUAAACCAUCUAUCAGGGCAUUAGGCUGAAGGUAAACCAUGUUUUAGGGCAUUAGGCUGAAGGUAAACCAUGUUUUAGGGCAUUAGGCUAAAGGUAAACCAUGUUUUAGGGCAUUAGGCUGAAGGUAAACUAUCUAUCAGGGCAUUAGGCUGAAGGUAAACCUUGUUUUAGGGCAUUAGGCUGAAGGUAAACCAUCUAUCAGGGCAUUAGGCUGAAGGUAAACCAUCUAUCAGGGCAUUAGGCUGAAGGUAAACCAUCUAUCAGGGCAUUAGGCUGAAGGUAAACCAUCUAUCAGGGCAUUAGGCUGAAGGUAAACUAUAUAUCAGGGCAUUAGGCUGAAGGUAAACCAUCUAUCAGGGCAUUAGGCUGAAUGUAAACCAUCUAUCAGGGCAUUAGGCUGAAGGUAAACCAUAUAUCAGGGCAUUAGGCUGAAGGUAAACCAUGUUUUAGGGCAUUAGGCUAAAGGUAAACCAUCUAUCAGGGCAUUAGGCUGAAGGUAAACUAUCUAUCAGGGCAUUAGGCUGAAGGUAAACCAUCUAUCAGGGCAUUAGGCUGAAGGUAAACCAUAUAUCAGGGCAUUAGGCUAAAGGUAAACCAUAUAUCAGGGCAUUAGGCUGAAGGUAAACUAUCUAUCGGGGCAUUAGGCUGAAGGUAAACCAUCUAUCAGGGCAUUAGGCUGAAAGUAAACCAUCUAUCAGGGCAUUAGGCUGAAGGUAAACCAUGUUUUAGGGCAUUAGGCUGAAGGUAAACCAUCUAUCAGGGCAUUAGGCUGAAGGUAAACUAUCUAUCAGGGCAUUAGGCUAAAGGUAAACCAUGUUUUAGGGCAUUAGGCUAAAGGUAAACCAUCUAUCAGGGCAUUAGGCUGAAGGUAAACUAUCUAUCAGGGCAUUAGGCUAAAGGUAAACCAUGUUUUAGGGCAUUAGGCUAAAGGUAAACCAUGUUUUAGGGCAUUAGGCUGAAGGUAAACCAUCUAUCAGGGCAUUAGGCUAAAGGUAAACCAUGUUUUAGGGCAUUAGGCUAAAGGUAAACCAUGUUUUAGGGCAUUAGGCUAAAGGUAAACCAUCUAUCAGGGCAUUAGGCUGAAGGUAAACUAUCUAUCAGGGCAUUAGGCUAAAGGUAAACCAUAUAUCAGGGCAUUAGGCUGAAGGUAAACCAUAUAUCAGGGCAUUAGGCUGAAGGUAAACCAUCUAUCAGGGCAUUAGGCUGAAGGUAAACCAUCUAUCAGGCCAUUAGGCUGAAGGUAAACCAUCUAUCAGGGCAUUAGGCUGAAGGUAAACUAUCUAUCAGGGCAUUAGGCUGAAGGUAAACCAUGUUUUAGGGCAUUAGGCUGAAGGUAAACCAUCUAUCAGGGCAUUAGGCUGAAGGUAAACCAUGUUUUAGGGCAUUAGGCUGAAGGUAAACCAUCUAUCAGGGCAUUAGGCUGAAGGUAAACCAUCUAUCAGGGCAUUAGGCUGAAGGUAAA